CCACUCUUCAAAAAAUAAACAUUUUCCAUGUAGUCUUAUAAAAUUAUUUCCCCAUAUAAAUUGUUUUCUUAUUUGUAGAAAGUCAUGUGGGUAUGUUGACCCACCUCCUUUAACACUAAUCCAAGUUUUAAUUAAUUCUUGGUAAAAUUCUGGAACACUCUUGAAAAUUGUCUUAUCUAGAUCAUUUAUAUUUUUUAGAUUCAUUAGAAAUACGAUCAAGUUAUUACCAAAUUUAUUUAAAUAGAAUCUUGGUAUAACUGUCCAAUUGUCCGUUUCAGUAUUAAAUAAUUUUGUUAUCCAGCCUAUGUGAAUGGAUUUUAUAAAAAUAUCAAUGUCUAUCAUUUUAAGUCCCCCUUUUUUGUACUCUGCUGUAAGAGUUGAUCUUUUAAUUUUAUCUCUUUUACCAUUCCAUAUAAAAUUGUAUAUGAGGGUUUUAAAUUUUUGUAGUGAAUCUUUUGGUAUUACAGUAUUUGAUGCUAUAUAUGUUAAGUUUGGUAAAAUUAAAGAUUUAGUUACUACUAUU
rnacentral:lncRNA from 1 species